rnacentral:rRNA from 1 species
GGGCGGUUCCCCCUUCGGGGGGACAGGUGACAGGUGGUGCAUGGUUGUCGUCAGCUCGUGUCGUGAGAUGUGGUUAAGUCCCGCAACGAGCGCAACCCUCGACCUUAGUUGCCAGCAUUCAGUUGGGCACUCUAAGGUGACUGCCGGCUAAAAGUCGGAGGAAGGUGGGGAUGACGUCAAAUCAUCAUGCCCCUUAUGACCUGGGCUACACACGUGCUACAAUGGGCGGUACAAAGGGUCGCGAACCCGCGAGGGGGAGCCAAUCCCAAAAAGCCGCUCUCAGUUCGGAUUGCAGGCUGCAACUCGCCUGCAUGAAGCCGGAAUCGCUAGUAAUCGCGGAUCAGCAUGCCGCGGUGAAUACGUUCCCGGGCCUU